CGGGGUGCACCAGGCGCGAAAACUUUACAAUGCGGGAAACCGUGAUAAGGGGACACCGAGUGCCAGCAUCAUAUGCUGGCUGUCCAGGUGUGUAAAAUACACCUGUUAGCAAGGGCCGGGCAAGACCGGUGCCAGCCGCCGCGGUAACACCGGCGGCCCGAGUGGUGAUCGUGAUUAUUGGGUCUAAAGGGUCCGUAGCCGGUUUGGUCAGUCCUCCGGGAAAUUUGACAGCUCAACUGUUAGGCUUUCGGGGGAUACUGCCAGACUUGGAACCGGGAGAGGUAAGAGGUACUACAGGGGUAGGAGUGAAAUCUUGUAAUCCCUGUGGGACCACCUGUGGCGAAGGCGUCUUACCAGAACGGGUUCGACGGUGAGGGACGAAAGCUGGGGGCACGAACCGGAUUAGAUACCCGGGUAGUCCCAGCCGUAAACGAUGCUCGCUAGGUGUCAGGCAUGGCGCGACCGUGUCUGGUGCCGCAGGGAAGCCGUGAAGCGAGCCACCUGGGAAGUACGGCCGCAAGGCGGAAACUUAAAGGAAUUGGCGGGGGAGCAC
rnacentral:rRNA from 1 species